AUGUUACCAAUUUUAAAAUACACAGGGUUACUCCCUACGACUGCAUUGAUAACUGGUCUGUGUGUUUAAGGUGGUGAAGAGUAGGUUCACCAGAAAAAAGGAGCGAGUCACAAGACCACCAGCAUCGGAGUCCACGAGCUCCUGUGGGAUCCAACAUGGACCAAUAACGUGAGAGGAGUUGGGACAAAUGAACAUGCGUUGUCAGAAAGCCAUCGGUUGGCGUGGCGAUGUGCUUACUGGGCCAAGAAGAAGGAGGAGUGGACAGGUGUGUGUCGUACAGGAGUCCUGAGUUUCCUCCGGGUGCUUCCUCCACUGCUACUUUCUGGGGCUGGAGAGGGUGCCACCUUUUCAGGAGCUGGUGGCGCUGAUGCUGACACAGAGUUAUGAGCCCUCAGUGAGCGAGUAGACUCUGUCGAUGGCAAAGAGAUAUGUAAUACAGGAAAGAAAUUAUGGAACAUGUUACAUGUGGUAAUUUUUGAUACUAGACUUUUGCUUGUCAAGAGUUAAAUGAGAAAAAUAUCGAUACCAUGUAUGUACGGUAAAUAUGAAGCCAGCAGCUGGUUAGCUUAGCAUAAAGACUGGAAACAGAGGGUAACGGCUAGCCUGGCUCAGUCUGAAGGUAACACAAUCUGUCUACCAGCACCUCUGAAGCUCACUAAUUAACACAUCUCAUUUAAUUCAUACAAAAACUGAAGUGUAAAUACACUUCUGGGUUUACAGGGGAUUAGGUGCAGGACAAUUUCUUGGCUGGGCACAAUAACUCCCUGGAGUCUUGUUGUUACCACGUUGUUGCCAGGCAACUCAACUAACCAGCUCCUGGCGGAAGUUUUAUAUUUGGCAUACAAACAUAAGAGUGCCAUCAAUCGACUAAUCCAGCUCCCAGCAAGAAAGGAAAUACGCACAUUUCCCAAAAUGUCCAACUUUUCCAUUAAAACUACAAACUGUUUUGU